rnacentral:rRNA from 1 species
UACAGAGGGGGCAAGCGUUGUUCGGAAUUACUGGGCGUAAAGGGCGCGUAGGCGGCCUUCUAAGUCGAACGUGAAAUCCCCGGGCUCAACCCGGGAAACUGCGUCCGAUACUGGAAGGCUUGAAUCCGGGAGAAGGGAUGUGGAAUUCCAGGGUGUAGCGGUGAAAUGCGUAGAUAUCUGGAAGGAACACCGGUGGCGAAGGCGACAUCCUGGA